CCUUCAUUUCCAGGCCUGAAUCUGUGCAGCUCUCUCCCUUCUCCUGCUCCCCUCUCCCAUAAGAAUUCACUCCCCCUAACAUCAGAAUGUGUGACCUAUGCUAUGCCAUCGGCUGGAGCUGCAGCAGGAAGCUAUGGAGACCAAGCUAAAAUGGCAGCUGCUAUCUUAAAUGGAGGGAGCUUCUAGGGCUGUUUACUCAGGAAAGCUUUUCUUCUCACCCAGCACCAUGGAGGCGAUGAAAGCAGUGGAGACGCUGCUUGCACACAGCAAGACAGCAUGGUCCAUGAGGAAGUGGCCAUCAAGGAUCCAGCCAAAAAUAACAGCAGCCAUAGAAGC